UACGGAGGGUGCGAGCGUUGUCCGGAAUCAUUGGGCGUAAAGGGCGCGUAGGUGGCCCGGUCAGUUCGUGGUGAAAGCGCGGGGCUCAACCCUGCGUCGGCCAUGAAUACUGCCGCGGCUGGAGCACUGUAGAGGCAGGCGGAAUUCCGGGGUGUAGCGGUGGAAUGCGUAGAGAUCCGGAAGAACACCGGUGGCGAAGGCGGCCUGCUGGGCAGUUGCUGACACUGAGGCACGGAAGGCCAGGGGAGCAA
rnacentral:rRNA from 1 species